rnacentral:rRNA from 1 species
GGUGAACGCUGGCGGCGUGCUUAAGACAUGCAAGUCGAACGGCAGUCUUCGGACUGUAGUGGCGCACGGGUGAGUAACGCGUAACUGACCUACCCCAAAGUCGCGGAUAACGAUUCGAAAGAAUAGCUAAUACGUGAUGUGCUGUCAGAUUGUGUUCUGCCAGUAAAGAUUGAUUGCUUUGGGAUGGGGUUGCGUUCCAUCAGCUAGUUGGUGGGGUAAAGGCCCACCAAGGCGACGACGGAUAGCCGGCCUGAGAGGGUGGCCGGCCACAGGGGAACUGAGACACGGGUCCCACUCCUACGGGAGGCAGCAGUUAGGAAUCUUCCACAAUGGGCGAAAGCCUGAUGGGGCGACGCCGCGUGAGGGAUGAAGGUCUUCGGAUCGUAAACCUCUGAAUCAGGGACGAAAGACACUUCGGUGGGAUGACGGUACCUGAGUAAUAGCACCGGCUAACUCCGUGCCAGCAGCCGCCGCCGUAA